rnacentral:lncRNA from 1 species
CUUUGAAGGCUGGGAUCAGCAAGUUUAGGUUUUUGGCUACGGUUUUGGUUCAAAUCUUGUAUGAUUUGGAGUUUAUAUGAAGGAGAUAUAGGCGCUCAAAGUUAAGGUGUUGAUUUGGGAGCUACUGUCACUCUUUUCAACAUAACGCACGUGUAUAGAAGGCAAUUGAGGAUCGGCGACCGCAACUGAAGAAAGCUCUUUUGCAGCUACACUUUUUGCAUACUACUUGCUGGAUUUCAAGUUGAAAUGAAGGAGUUAUUGGAUUUUGAAGUCAGCACAUGCAAUCUAAGGGUAGUAAGUGACCUGAUUUACUAGUGGUUGUGUCUUGAGCUAUAUCUUGAGCAAUUUAAUAAGGUUUUGGCUCAAAAUUUUAAGAAAUGUGUAAAUUCAUGUUAUUAAACUUUGUACAUAAGUUUGAUGAUAUUUGAGUAUUGGGUUCUUGAGAUAUUAAGAAAAUAGUGCUCAGGUGCUUGUAAAUUAGGAUUUAGAGCAUCUACUAGGGUUUCUUAGAUGCUAGAUGAUCGGAAGAGAUUUUGUAGUUAGUUUUUUUUGAGGUAAAACUUAAGGAUGAAUUCUAUCUACUCUAUAAAUAUGAAACAAAUUGAACACU